rnacentral:rRNA from 1 species
GACGGAGGGUGCGAGCGUUGUUCGGAAUUACUGGGCGUAAAGGGCGCGUAGGCGGUCUGCUAAGUUCGGUGUGAAAUCCCCCGGCUCACCUGGGGAAUGGCGCUGGAAACUGGCAGACUCGAGUACCGGAGAGGAGGGUGGAAUUCCUGGUGUAGCGGUGAAAUGCGUAGAUAUCAGGAGGAACACCGGUGGCGAAGGCGGCCCUCUGGACGGAUACUGACGCUGAGGCGCGAAAGCGUGGGGAUCAAACAGG